CAUAGCUUACUUGUUAUAACAUUUUUCAAUACCCCAAUUUUCCCAGACCCCUUUAUUUUUAUUGAGUAGUUCUAUAAUAAUAUAGAAAUUAUACUGUUAAAACUAGUAACAAGAAGAAGCCCUUCUCUUAAAUGCGAGUGUAUAUCAGAAAGGACAAACCACUGAUAAUUAAUGCCCAUAAAAUAAUAGUAAUAACAUAACAAGAAAACCUUACUCUCUUCAGCAUUAACCUAACACAAGAGCAUUACAAGAAAGAUUAAAAAAAGAGGAAGGAACUCGGCAAAUAUUAACCCCGCCUGUUUACCAAAAACAUCGCCUCUUGAAUAUUAUAAGAGGUCCCGCCUGCCCAGUGACUCUGUUCAACGGCCGCGG
rnacentral:rRNA from 1 species